AGCAACAGGAACCAUGUGGAGGUUCUCAGAGAGCUCUCUUUUCCCCCUACUCGUGUUUUCUUUUAACUCAACAUUUUGCACAGCAUCUUGCAUGGAGACUCUGACAGCUGGGCUGGAGGCAAGCAGCUCUUCCUCCUCUGACUAACCCGUGCUCGAGGGGCAAUUGUUCUACACUCAACAGACAGCAAAAAUGAUAAUCAUGGGCAUCCAAGUUCCCAUUCUGACAAAUCGUGCAGCAUGCCGAUCAUUUGGAUGCAGGCUCCCUUUGAUUCCAUCCUCAGAGUCUCAGAGUGUCGCAAGUCAAGCUGGGAAGACGUACCUGACUCCAAGUUUCUUCUAAAUGCAAAGUUGCUGCAGCUUUUGUUGUGAGCUAAUCUUUGUGUGACUCAUAUGGCAACGCUCAGCAGGCCUGGGCUCCUGAAGAUGUUCCUUUGAGAGCUAUCAUCAGCAUUUUGAUCACAGGAUUGAUUACAUCAGCAUUUUGAUUACAAGAUUGAUUACAUCAGCAUUUUGAUUACAGGAUUUUCUGCC